AUUUUUUUCUUCUCAACCUGCUGUUACAGGUGUUAUAUAUAUAUAUGUACGGCUUUAGCAUUCUUAUGGAGAUGCCUGAAGGGAUUGUGUGUAUUUAUAUUUUUAAGAAGACAGCCUGUUUGUUCCUCUCCAGGUAAGCAGUUAUAUUUUCAACUGCUCUGAACACACAGGUAUUUUCCAGACUUCCGCUUAAAAAGAGUAAAACUAAAAAGCCAAAUGACAUCACCAUUCCAGAGUUGUUUGUCCUAUCAAGUCUUAGCCUUGCUGCUUUAAUCAAACCAGGUCUCCAUGCUGUAAAUGAUCAAAUAUAACCAGGGCUCUGCUACUGGUGGUGUGUGAGACCCUCAGAUCUAUUUCACAUCAAGUUGACUUUCUUCAGGAAAAGUCGCAUGUCAGCAUGAUCUAGAAAGUGUUCAUUUUGUAUAUUUUGCCCUUUGUCCAUCUCCCCAGUCAAAAUCCAUGUCUUGGUCAGGGGCAUGACCCUGAACUCCCACAAGACAUUCAUGAGAACGCUGGACAUGUCCUUGGAGGAGUCUACCCUGGAGGAGUGCAGUGUGAUCCUGGUCUUCUGUUCCAUUACCACUCGGAUGGGGACGGCUAUAGAGGGGACCAUGAAUGUCAUUCCAGAUGAAAAACCUGCCAUUUUGGUGCUCAUGCACCACAGCUGCAACCCUGAUCACAUUGAUGACAUCCCAAUUAAAGCAUCUAAGAGCAAUGUAGUGGUUGUCACCCAUUGUGUUUUCCAUGAAUCGAGUGGACUGAUAGAGUGCAAGUUAAACCAACAAGCAGUGAGUGAAGUGAGAUCUAAGCUUAAAUUCUACCAGAGAAACACUUUAUAGAUAGAACACAUUGGAUGUAGCGGGUUAACAACCCCUCAAAUAAAAAAUAUAAAUGAAAAACA
rnacentral:lncRNA from 1 species